CCACAAUGGCCAGGAAACCAGAAAUAUUGUGCUCGCUAUAUUGAAAUGAUGCAGUAAAAGCAAACCAUAUCCAUAAUUUUCCAAGAGAAAGGAGAAGACGUGUACCUCCCUGAACCCAACAGGAAAGGUCAAGGAUAAACAGCAUGAUGCAUGAAGUUCCUUUGUGCUCAACAUGUUCAGGUGUCUUUGGUUUAUGGCCAGAGUAAUGAAUAAAGAAAUAGCCUUUGUAGCCAUCUUCUGACCUGGAAUAACUUCAGAUGUCAUUCUUAUUAAUGUAAAAUUUAAUCUUUAUCUGAACCCUACUGAACCACAUUUCUAUAGAUUUUCCCAUGACAGAGAAGUCAACAGGUAACUUCGGCAAAGCCAGAACUGCAUGUGGGUACUGCUCAGCUGUGAAUGGAGAGAUGAGAAUGCAGUAAAUGCCACACUCAAGGUCUGCCCAGCCCUAGUUCCCCAAACAUUAAGGCUCCAAGCAUACUAUCUCCAUUGAUGGGAGGUCAUUGAUUAUAUCAGUGUGGUUUUCUCACACCUUCUCUUCUGCAAGUACUGAUGGUCUGGAGCAAAGAAGAACGACUUUCUCAUCUGAUUAUACAGUCACAACUGCUCCCUGUGCCUCUCUGAUCUACAGACACUUCUGCCAAGGUGCCUACAUAACAGAAUAAUCCCUAAAUUCUCUACAUGUGAAGAUUAACCAACUGGCCAAAUGGAUAAGUAAUAUAAUAGAUAUAAUGAACUAUGGGAAGGGAGAUACUUGGAUAACUAACUGUGAUGUGAGAGGAAAGAUUUUCUGCUUUCAUGCAUUAGUAAGCAUUUCUGAAUAUUGAAUGAGAUCAUGUCCCUGAAAAGGCUGCGUAUUCCCCUCCCUGCUGCUACCUGUUUCUCUCCCUGAAAACACAGAAGAUUUUUGGACAAAAGAAAUAAGUAGAGCUCCUCUCCUGUUUUAUGUUAUGUGGGGCAGCUGACUCAGGUCACGAAAUACUAACUUUGUCAUUAGUAUGGCACUGCUUCCUAAGCCACAGUAAUUCCUUCUGCUACCCAUAAGCUUCUUUAUGCAUGACCUGUCCUCAAGCUUUCAAUCCCCAGAGAAAUUUUCCAUCACAGCACUUCCAUGUAAGAUGGAAAAAUUCUUCUAAAUCUUACCAUAACAUUAUUUCACUAGGUAUUCUAUUUUAAUACUUUAUUUUUCCAGCACUGUCAAGCAUUUAUGUCAAGUCUCUUGGUAAUAUCAUUAUCCCUAGUAGGAACCUACUAGCUCAUGAAUCUCAGUGGUACCCCUUACCACACACCAUCAUAACACUGAUGCUGCAUACCACACUCUGAAUAUUUCACUCUGCAGCAAAUGUCAGCAAUAGCCCAUUGUCUACGUAUAUUUACUACAUUAAGAAUUUUAGAUUGAAUAACUAAAAAAAGAAGGCACUAUGUUCUAUGUAUACACAUCCAAAGCUCCCUACUGACUUCUCAAACUUUUCUAGCAUUUGAAAUAGAUUUUGGACCUCUUUCCCAGUCAGAAGUAAAAUCAUCUAACUCUGUCCUCACUUCAUGUUACUGCAUUUACUCUCAACUUAAACCAUUAAGAUUCAUUAGAAGAGAAGGUCGGUACAUGUCUUUUAGAUAUACUCUUUUGCUGGAGCAGAGGUUGAAAUGUUCCCUGCUCUGCUCAGUUUUAUAUUUAAUCCUUGUUAAAAUGGCUCUUAGCCAAGAAGGCACUAAUACAAGCCAUCAGAGACUAUACAUUUCUGUCUUCAUUACAAUCAAUCCUCUUUUUGCUGUUUUCUCCCUCUAGCCUUGCUUAUAUACUUUAAAGGCUUUUUUUUAAAAAAAAAAUUCAAAGUACUUUAUAAACAUGAAUGAAUAAAUGACUCAUUUCUGUAUUCCGUGAAGUACAAGGAUUCUUUAGGAUUCUUUCAAUAGUGCACAAUAAAAUAAAGCACCAUAUAAUAUAAUAUAAAACAGCAUCAUUCUGAUCUGAAAAAAAGCAGAAUAAUCUAUAUUGAAGACCACAAAGACAAACAAGGGCUGAUAUCUCCACAGAAAACAUGCAUUUUCAAGCAGUCAAAGUCAGCCUCCUGUGCCCCAGACGUGACAUGGAUUGGCUAAUACUAUUUCAUAAGAAGUUUUACUCCCAUACUAUUUCUUCUCUGUACUAUUGUAUUCUGAUUCAUUGUCUGGCUCUUAUUUAUUAGACUGUUAAAAUAGAAGCUACCUGCAGAAAGACAAGUUUUCUGUUAUUUUUUUUCUUUUAACAGAACUCACUGUUGUUCAAUGAUAUUCAUCCGUACAGAUAAAAGAUUGAAGUUCCAAAAGAGUACAAGUAACUUUUGCUGUUAAUGUGGCUGUUUUCUUAAUUUCUUCAAGCAUGAUUUGGAUACAUGUGUUCUGACUUUAAAUCUAUCUGGUUCCCUACCAUAGUUUCAAAAAGAAAGAAAAUCAGUAUAAAUUAAGGAACUUGUGCAUUAUUCCAAAGAAGACAAAGAUGUUUUGAAGACAUCAUUUUGUGUUUGAUCUAACACAAAUAGUGAAUUAUUUCCAAUGCUGGGAAGCCUCAAUGGAAACUAUUGUGAGGUUUAUCAUAGAACUCCUACAUUUCAGAUGGCCCAGAUGCACACAACGUACCUGAUUAUUUUCU